GCCAGACUCCUACGGGAGGCAGCAGUGGGGAAUAUUGGGCAAUGGGCGCAAGCCUGACCCAGCAACGCCGCGUGAAGGAAGAAGGCUUUCGGGUUGUAAACUUCUUUUCUCAGGGACGAAGCAAGUGACGGUACCUGAGGAAUAAGCCACGGCUAACUACGUGCCAGCAGCCGCGGUAAUACGUAGGUGGCAAGCGUUAUCCGGAUUUACUGGGUGUAACGGGCGUGUAGGCGGGGACGCAAGUCAGAUGUGAAAACCACGGGCUCAACCUGUGGCCUGCAUUUGAAACUGUGUUUCUUGAGUACUGGAGAGGCAGACGGAAUUCCUAGUGUAGCGGUGAAAUGCGUAGAUAUUAGGAGGAACACCAGUGGCGAAGGCGGCCUGCUGGGCUUUUACUGACGCUGAGGCUCGAAAGUGUGGGGAGCAAACAGGAUUAGAUACCCGCGUAGA
rnacentral:rRNA from 1 species